rnacentral:rRNA from 1 species
AGUGGGGUAACGAACGCAACCCUCGUUGCCUGUUAUAAGUAUCAGGCGAGACUGCCCCCUCACGGGGGAGGAAGGUGAGGAUGACGCCAAGUCAGCAUGUCCCUCUGAUGCCCUGGGCUGCACACGCGCUACAAUCGCCACUACAACGAGGCGCGACGGGGUAACCCUGAGCAAAUCUUUCAAAAGUGGCGCCAGUUCGGAUUGAGGUCUGCAACCCGACCUCAUGAAGCCGGAAUCGCUAGUAAUCGCGGAUCAGCCAUGCCGCGGUGAAUACGUUCUCAAGCCUUGUACUCGGGUCGUCAUGCGAUCGAGUAUGCU